CAAUACCAUAAUGGAAUAAAAUAUCGGGUCUUUUGUUUUUAUUAAUCAUCCGAAACAGUGGCCUGCUAUGCGAUAAUAUCUAUAUUUUUUAGGACGAUGCAAAGUCUGUAUCUUAUAAAGUUAUUCGUUUCCAUUAAUUGUUUUUCGGAAAGUUAUAAUAAACAAAUUUUUUUUUUUGUUUUUUUUUUUAAAUAAAUUUACGAUUUGUUAAAAACUAAACGCAACGUUAAAAUAUUUAAAUGCAUUUUUGUGUUAUUGUUAUAUACGGCGCCAAGUACAAUAAUAUAGACUGCGAGUAUUUGAUGUUUGCCGA